rnacentral:rRNA from 1 species
AGCAUUCUCUGGUGUUGAAGGCCCUGCAAAGCAGCAUCGCGGUGGCGGAGCGUCGUUUGCGACGCCCAACACACAAAACAAGCGGUGAGUGCUUUGGGGUGGGGUGACUGCGUACCUUUUGUAUAAUGGGUCAGCGACUUAUAUUCUGUAGCAAGGUUAACCGAAUAGGGGAGCCGGAGGGAAACCGAGUCUUAAUUGGGCGUUAAGUUGCAGGGUAUAGACCCGAAACCCGGUGAUCUAGCCAUGGGCAGGUUGAAGGUUGGGUAACACUAACUGGAGGACCGAACCGACUAAUGUUGAAAAAUUAGCGGAUGACCUGUGGCUGGGGGUGAAAGGCCAAUCAAACCGGGAGAUAGCUGGUUCUCCCCGAAAGCUAUUUAGGUAGCGCCUCGUGAAUUCAUCUCCGGGGGUAGAGCACUGUUUCGGCUAGGGGGCCAUCCCGGCUUACCAACCCGAUGCAAACUGCGAAUACCGGAGAAUGUUAUCACGGGAGACACACGGCGGGUGCUAACGUCCGUCGUGAAGAGGGAAACAACCCAGACCGCCAGCUAAGGUCCCAAAGUCAUGGUUAAGUGGGAAACGAUGUGGGAAGGCCCAGACAGCCAGGAUGUUGGCUUAGAAGCAGCCAUCAUUUAAAGAAAGCGUAAUAGCUCACUGGUCGAGUCGGCCUGCGCGGAAGAUGUAACGGGGCUAAACCAUGCACCGAAGCUGCGGCAGCGACGCUUAUGCGUUGUUGGGUAGGGGAGCGU